GACGCCCCCUCAGCGGCGCCCCGGGCUCCCCGCGCCGCGCACGCCGGCGGCUCCUGACGGGCCCCUGACGGGCCCGAGCCGGGCUCCUGGGACGCGACGGAGCAGCGCCCUCUCGCGCGGUGGCGGCCUUCCAGGGAAAAACCUGUGUCCUCCUCUCAUUCUUCCGGUGACCUGACCCCACUCGCCGUCCCCCAGCAUGUCCUCCAAGACAUCAUCCAAGAGCAGCUCGUUUGCUCCUGACUAGGAUCCACUGGUUACUCAGGGGAGGGGGAGAGGGGGAGAGAGAGCCUCUCCAGCAGACUCCCCACUGAGCGUGGACACCUAGGAGCUCCAACCCACCUCCUGCACCUGAGCAGAAAUUAAGAUCUGUUGCUUAACUGACCCAGCUACCCAGAAAAUUGCUACUGUCCUUCAGACGAGACCUUGACAUAUCAUUUAAGAUGAUGUUUUUUGGAUUGCAGACAGGUACCAUGUGUCAUGUUGGUGAGGACUGAGGCAGAGGAUGUGAAAGGAAGCAGAGGAUGAGUGACAGAAACUUUGUAUUUUAAAAUACAGGCACACAUCCCACCCCCAUCAGAUGGCCAGUGAGAAGAAUUCCUUGCUAUCAAGUUCUUAUCAACAAGUCAGACAGAAUUAGGGCAUCCUCGACCUACAUUCCUGAGGACAUAAUAAUGAUUAUGGGAGACACACAGAGAGAGAGGCAGAGACAUGGGCAGAGAGAAAAGCAGCCUCCGUGCAGGG